AAGAAAGUAAAUAAGGGCGCAUGGCGGAUGCCUUGGCUCUCGGAGGCGAUGAAGGACGUGAUAAGCUGCGAUAAGCUUCGGGUAGGUGCAAAUGACCAUUGAUCCGAAGAUUUCCGAAUGGGACAACCCGGCAUUCUGAAGGAAUGUCAUCCAACUUUGUUGGAGGCUAACGCAGGGAACUGAAACAUCUUAGUACCUGCAGGAAAAGAAAAUAAAUAAUGAUUCCCCUAGUAGUGGCGAGCGAACGGGGAUUAGCCCAAACCACCCAUGUUACGGCAUGUGUGGGGUUGUAGGACCACGCUCUCGCAAGACAGUUAUUGAGAAGAAACGGCUGGAAAGUCGUGCCAUAGACGGUGAUAGCCCGGUAUUCUAAGGUAACCGAAGCGUAGUGGUAUCCUGAGUAGCGCGGAGCACGAGGAAUUCUGCGUGAAUCAGCCGGGACCAUCCGGUAAGGCUAAAUACUCCCGAGAGACCGAUAGCGAACCAGUACUGUGAAGGAAAGGUGAAAAGCACUUCGAAUAGAAGAGUGAAAUAGUCCCUGAAACCAUGCGCCUACAAGCGGUCGGAGCAGCUUAAGCUGUGACGGCGUGCCUUUUGCAUAAUGAACCUACGAGUUACUUUUUCCGGCAAGGUUAAGCAUCUUGAGAUGUGGAUCCGAAGCGAAAGCGAGUCUGAACAGGGCGGAUAGUCGGAAGGAGUAGACGCGAAACCAAGUGAUCUACCCUUGGGCAGGUUGAAGGUUAGGUAACACUAACUGGAGGACCGAACCGAUAAGCGUUGAAAAGCUUCCGGAUGACCUGAGGGUGGGGGUGAAAGGCUAAUCAAACUUGGAGAUAGCUCGUACUCCCCGAAAUGCAUUUAGGUGCAGCCUUGAGAGUUACUAAUGUGAGGUAGAGCGACUGAUAAGAUGCGAGGGCUUCACCGCCUAUCAAGUCUUGAUAAACUCCGAAUGCGCAUUAGUUCUAUCUCAGGAGUGAGGGCAUGGGUGCUAAGGUCCAUGUCCUAAAGGAGAAGAAUCCAGACCAUCAGCUAAGGUCCCCAAAUAAACACUAAGUUGAACUAACGAAGUCAGAUUGCUAAGACAGCUAGGAUGUUGGCUUGGAAGCAGCCAUUCAUUUAAAGAGUGCGUAACAGCUCACUAGUCGAGGAGUUUGGCGUGGAUAAUAAUCGGGCAU
rnacentral:rRNA from 1 species